CCUACGGGUGGCAGCAGUGAGGAAUAUUGGUCAAUGGGCGCGAGCCUGAACCAGCCAAGUCGCGUGAGGGAAGACGGUCCUAUGGAUUGUAAACCUCUUUUGUCGGGGAGCAAAAGACGCCACGCGUGGCGUUUCGAGAGUACCCGAAGAAAAAGCAUCGGCUAAGUCCGUGCCAGCAGCCGCGGUAAUACGGAGGAUGCGAGCGUUAUCCGGCUUUAUUGGGUUUAAGGGGUGCGCAGGCGGAAGUUCAAGCCAGCGGGAAAAUUCUGGGGCUCAACCUCUUCGAGCCGGGGGAACUGGUUGUCUUGAGUGAGCGAGAGGUAGGCGGAAUGCGUGGUGUAGCGGUGAAAUGCAUAGAUAUCACGAAGAACCCCGAUUGCGAAGGCAGCAUACCGGCGCGCAACUGACGCUCAUGCACGAAAGUGUGGGUAUCGAACAGGAUUAGAUACCCGAGUAGUC
rnacentral:rRNA from 1 species